GUUAGGAACAGGAACAAAUCAAUCAGGGGUCUAGAUGAAAAUGAAAAGCUGAGAGGUUAGAAGGUGCUGCUCACAGGAUGACAGGUUUGAUAUAUACCUUUCAAAGGAGACAAUUAAUUAUUGCGUAGCAGAAGAAAGAAAGGAGGCAACCCGUCCUUGCCCAAGAGAGGAACAAGCCACAAGCUCUCCACCUCGCCAUCACUGACCACCUCUCGGCACACUGCCUGUGCAUUUUUAUGCACAGGAGAAUCUCAAUCCUCGUUCUGCCUCGAGAUAAGCCAUCUCCAAUAGCCGCUUCUGUUUGUCUAACUUUGAAAUAUCUUGGUCCCCACCCAGGAAGGGAGGUAACAGGAAGAAAAGCAAAUGGCAUCCUCUUAGGACCAACAAUAGCAAGCAGGACUAAGCACUGGAGAUGAAAUCCCCUCUGGCCAAACAGAUGUACAAGCCACCUCUAAAAUAUCUGGGAGUCCUCUGGCACAGACGAAACACAGUUAUGACUAAUGAGCUGGUAUUUGCUCAGCUCCUAAAAGUCCUUGGGACCCUAGGAAAUAAACCCUAGGAAAGUUCCGAGUACAAGUCAGCUGGAUGGGAGGCGACUCUGUUUCUCAAGCACUAGAUGCCCUGUUCCCACUUGAAGUCUGACUUAUAAUUGCCAACUUAAUACUUCCAAAGAAACCCAUGGACGGGGACUUCUAUCUUAUUGCCCAUAUGAUUGCAGGCCUCAGAACAGUACCUGAUCUGAAGUGGGCACUCAAUGAGUAAUUCUUGAAUAGAUGAAUGGUUCUUUGCACCCCAUUCCACCUAGCUGAUGAAGACAGAGGCAAAUGACUCUUCUCAGUGGACCAUCUAUCUCCCAGAUAACCAUCAAAAACAAACAAACAAAAAGUGGACAACUACUUACAGAUAAGAACAAUCCCUCUGGUUAAUGUAUUUGGGACAUUUCACGUAACAAGGAAACAUGAUCAAAAGUUCAUCUGAAUAAAUCCUAAAAUAAAUGGAUUUUAGUGUCUCAGGAAGUUCUAAGUUGAAAAACUAUAAAAAUCAAAGAAAUUUCUCCCUAGAAGGGAAAAGGGUGAAAAAACUAAGUAGAACCCACUCUGUUUAUAAAUCUGUUGCAUAAGGAAAAAUGCACUAAGAAUGAAGGAGGCCUAACUCUGAUGUGGCUCAAUUCGAAUAACAGGUGAACUCUUUCUCACAGUGCUGGACAGCUGACCUCAAGCAGUGCCUAAAGAUGUCCGUCUCACCAAAACGGUGCUCUGGAAACUAGAAAACACAACAUCAAGAAGCCUGCUCACCACCUGCUGAUGUCAACUAUUUCAUAUUCCUGUACAGAAAUAAUUCAAUUCAUAGUGCCAAGGCCCAUUAAAAGUCUUCGUAAUGUCCCAUCAGCCAUUUUAAAAGUUCAUAAUUUAAAUAAAUAAGCCCAGCUUAGAGAGCAAAUCAAUUUUAGUGAGGGAACCUGGAAAGCAACAGUAGAAAUAAUAAUGAAGGACAGUUAAAUUUGAACCCACUGUACCAACAAUCACCUUCUAACUAACUAGUCUAACAUUAAGUGAAAAAGGAGAAAAUUUAGUCAGUUUUCAACAAAAUUCAAAACCUGUCCCCUCUGUUUGAGAGGAGUAAUGACUAACCUUCACAUUUCUCAUUGUAAAUAAAU